CCAGGGUCUGGAGCUCGGAGCUUCUUCUCUCUCAGCCUCCCCUCGGUGUGGCUUGUUCAUGUUGAUGUUUUACAAGUGCACAGAAUCUCCUUCAGUGUUGUUGUUCAGAUGGAAGACGUCUGGAUGGACAUAGAAGACCUGCUCUCAGUUAUAAUUGACAAGACGACUAUAACUGUCACAAAACAACACUGCCCAGAUGCCCAUUUUUUUUCCUCGUGGCCUCUGGUCUGCACCUCAUUGGAACAACCCCACCGGUUUUUUUCUCCAGAAGGGCAUCCGGUACUGGAGAUGUCAAACUGGAAGGAGUCGUAG
rnacentral:lncRNA from 1 species